CUACAGACUUGAUUGUAUUGAGCCUUGGUAUGGAAACCUUCUAAGUGGUAACUUCCAAAUUCAGAGAAACCCUGGAAUUAAAAAAGGGCAAUCCUGAGCCAAAUCCGUGUUUUGAGAAAACAAGGGGUUCUCGAACUAGAAUACAAAGGAAAAGGAUAGGUGCAGAGACUCAAUGGAAGCUGUUCUAACGAAUCGAGUUAAUUACGUUGUGUUGUUAGUGGAAUUCCUUCUAAUUCUAANUAAUUCUAAAUUAGAGAAAGAGGGG
rfam:Triticum aestivum genome assembly, contig: Triticum_aestivum_CS42_TGACv1_scaffold_178220_2DS